rnacentral:rRNA from 1 species
AGAGUUUGAUCCUGGCUCAGGAUGAACGCUAGCUACAGGCUUAACACAUGCAAGUCGAGGGGCAGCAUAUCGAAAGCUUGCUUUUGAUGAUGGCGACCGGCGCACGGGUGAGUAACGCGUAUCCAACCUUCCCUAUACUAGAGGAUAGCCCGGCGAAAGUCGGAUUAAUACUCUAUGUUCUUCGUAGAAGACAUCUGAAAUGAAGCAAAGGUUUACCGGUAUAGGAUGGGGAUGCGUCUGAUUAGGUUGUUGGCGGGGUAACGGCCCACCAAGCCCACGAUCAGUAGGGGUUCUGAGAGGAAGGUCCCCCACAUUGGAACUGAGCCAGGAUCAAACUCU